rnacentral:lncRNA from 1 species
CAUGUUUAUAGUAGGUGUAUGUCGAGUGUAUAAAAGAAAGUUCGGUCCUAGACAGUAUGGAAAUCGAUCAGAUACCGUUGUUGAAAAUGCUCUUAACAAAAUAAUUAAUUGUGAACUUUAAAUAUUAGCAGCAAGAAAACAAUAUAAAAUAACCCAUGAUAUAUUACACGACAGAUAUCAUGGUAAACAUGGUAAUAAACCGGGAGGCCAACCAUGAACCAAUAUGUAGUGAAUAUUUACUGAAGCUGAGGAAAAAGUAUUAUUGGCUACUAUUGCUAAAUGUAGUAAUUGAUGUUUCCUUUUAACCAUGACUGACUUCAGGUAACUAUUAAUAUCCUUGUUAAAUAUAAUCUAUAAAACACAAAAACUGUUUCUACUUAUGACCAUUAUAGAUUUUAAAAUCAUCCAACCCAACAUGCCCCAAACCAGUCUCAUUAGAAAGGCAAUAAUGCAAAGAUGGUUUUAGACCACUAAAACAACACAUUGAGCAUAUUCAGUCCAUUAAUGAAGUCGAUUUUUGACUUUUCCCAUUCAACAAUUUUCUCGAAUUUUAAUAUUUAUUUUUUUUAUAUAUUUUUUAUAGAUAUAGAUUAUUCACAAACUCACCAAAGAGUGGCAUUACUCACAAACAAAUUAAAAACAAAACUUGUGCAAUUUGUGCAUCACAUUUAAUUAUUUUGACCGCAUUGGUGCGAAGUUGGCACAUACUACUGACUGUCAACACAAAAACACUGAUCUGUCAUUCUCAUCAGAAAGUUUUAUCAUUUGUGUUUAUCACGUAGAUCAUGUCAAGUAAUCAAAUUAGGAAAUAUUAAAAACCUCAUAAAUUGUAUUAAAAAUAUUUGUUUUCAUGAAAUUUGGUGGUGAUUUUAAGUACUGUUAUCAAAAAUGCCACUGAAAAGAGCUGUUACUGGAAGAAAUGCACCAAAUGCUAAACGAAAGAGAACCAUAAGUGCAGCCGAAAUGCCUGAACAACAAGAAGUAUGUUUGGCGUCAAACCAACUGAAAUAUUAAUAAUCAGCUGAAACUCCUCAAUAGCAUAAAAAGUGGCUUGAAGGUAAUUUAUCAUGAACGGCUCAAUCGAUUUUCAGUUGGUUGCAUUCAAUAGUUAAUAAACUAGAUAAUAAUAAUAAAAAAUAAUACUUUUUUCAGAUUAGUGGCAGUUAUUUUUGGACAAAAUGGGUAUUGUCUAAACAUUUAAGGACAAUCUACCGGGUAAUGACUGGACUGAAAGUUUAUUUAAAAGAAAAAUUAUAUUUAU